rnacentral:rRNA from 1 species
CGAACGCUGGCGGCGUGCUUAACACAUGCAAGUCGAACGGUGAAGGGACCAGCUUGCUGGUUCUGGAUGAGUGGCGAACGGGUGAGUAACACGUGAGUAACCUGCCCCCUUCUUCUGGAUAACCGCAUGAAAGUGUGGCUAAUACGGGAUAUUCUGGGUCUGUCGCAUGACGGGCCCGGGAAAGAUAUUGCUUCGGUGGGGGAUGGGCUCGCGGCCUAUCAGCUUGUUGGUGGGGUGAUGGCCUACCAAGGCGGUGACGGGUAGCCGGCCUGAGAGGGUGGACGGUCACACUGGGACUGAGACACGGCCCAGACUCCUACGGGAGGCAGCAGUGGGGAAUAUUGCACAAUGGGCGCAAGCCUGAUGCAGCGACGCCGCGUGAGGGAUGGAGGCCUUCGGGUUGUAAACCUCUUUCGCCAGUGAAGCAGGCCUGCUCCUUGUGGGUGGGUUGACGGUAGCUGGAUAAGAAGCGCCGGCUAACUACGUGCCAGCAGCCGCGGUAAUACGUAGGGCGCGAGCGUUGUCCGGAAUUAUUGGGCGUAAAGAGCUCGUAGGCGGCUGGUCGCGUCUGUCGUGAAAUCCUCUGGCUUAACUGGGGGCUUGCGGUGGGUACGGGCCGGCUUGAGUGCGGUAGGGGAGACUGGAACUCCUGGUGUAUCGGUGGAAUGCGCAGAUAUCAGGAAGAACACCGGUGGCGAAGGCGGGUCUCUGGGCCGUUACUGACGCUGAGGAGCGAAAGCGUGGGGAGCGAACAGGAUUAGAUACCCUGGUAGUCCACGCCGUAAACGUUGGGCACUAGGUGUGGGGGGCCUUUUCCGGGUCUUCCGCGCCGUAGCUAACGCAUUAAGUGCCCCGCCUGGGGAGUACGGCCGCAAGGCUAAAACUCAA